CUAGAUAGGAGGGCCUCGAUCCCA
rnacentral:tRNA from 1 species